CGAAUAGGGGAGCCGAAGGGAAACCGAGUCUUAACUGGGCGUUAAGUUGCAGGGUAUAGACCCGAAACCCGGUGAUCUAGCCAUGGGCAGGUUGAAGGUUGGGUAACACUAACUGGAGGACCGAACCGACUAAUGUUGAAAAAUUAGCGGAUGACUUGUGGCUGGGGGUGAAAGGCCAAUCAAACCGGGAGAUAGCUGGUUCUCCCCGAAAGCUAUUUAGGUAGCGCCUCGUGAAUUCAUCUCCGGGGGUAGAGCACUGUUUCGGCAAGGGGGUCAUCCCGACUUACCAACCCGAUGCAAACUGCGAAUACCGGAGAAUGUUAUCACGGGAGACACACGGCGGGUGCUAACGUCCGUCGUGAAGAGGGAAACAACCCAGACCGCCAGCUAAGGUCCCAAAGUCAUGGUUAAGUGGGAAACGAUGUGGGAAGGCCCAGACAGCCAGGAUGUUGGCUUAGAAGCAGCCAUCAUUUAAAGAAAGCGUAAUAGCUCACUGGUCGAGUCGGCCUGCGCGGAAGAUGUAACGGGGCUAAACCAUGCACCGAAGCUGCGGCAGCGACACUGUGUGUUGUUGGGUAGGGGAGCGUUCUGUAAGCCUGUGAAGGUGUGCUGUGAGGCAUGCUGGAGGUAUCAGAAGUGCGAAUGCUGACAUAAGUAACGAUAAAGCGGGUGAAAAGCCCGCUCGCCGGAAGACCAAGGGUUCCUGUCCAACGUUAAUCGGGGCAGGGUGAGUCGACCCCUAAGGCGAGGCCGAAAGGCGUAGUCGAUGGGAAACAGGUUAAUAUUCCUGUACUUGGUGUUACUGCGAAGGGGGGACGGAGAAGGCUAUGUUGGCCGGGCGACGGUUGUCCCGGUUUAAGCGUGUAGGCUGGUUUUCCAGGCAAAUCCGGAAAAUCAAGGCUGAGGCGUGAUGACGAGGCACUACGGUGCUGAAGCAACAAAUGCCCUGCUUCCAGGAAAAGCCUCUAAGCAUCAGGUAACAUCAAAUCGUACCCCAAACCGACACAGGUGGUCAGGUAGAGAAUACCAAGGCGCUUGAGAGAACUCGGGUGAAGGAACUAGGCAAAAUGGUGCCGUAACUUCGGGAGAAGGCACGCUGAUAUGUAGGUGAAGCGACUUGCUCGUGGAGCUGAAAUCAGUCGAAGAUACCAGCUGGCUGCAACUGUUUAUUAAAAACACAGCACUGUGCAAACACGAAAGUGGACGUAUACGGUGUGACGCCUGCCCGGUGCCGGAAGGUUAAUUGAUGGGGUCAGCCGCAAGGCGAAGCUCUUGAUCGAAGCCCCGGUAAACGGCGGCCGUAACUAUAACGGUCCUAAGGUAGCGAAAUUCCUUGUCGGGUAAGUUCCGACCUGCACGAAUGGCGUAAUGAUGGCCAGGCUGUCUCCACCCGAGACUCAGUGAAAUUGAACUCGCUGUGAAGAUGCAGUGUACCCGCGGCAAGACGGAAAGACCCCGUGAACCUUUACUAUAGCUUGACACUGAACAUUGAGCCUUGAUGUGUAGGAUAGGUGGGAGGCUUUGAAGCGUGGACGCCAGUCUGCGUGGAGCCGACCUUGAAAUACCACCCUUUAAUGUUUGAUGUUCUAACGUAGACCCUAUCGGGUUGCGGACAGUGUCUGGUGGGUAGUUUGACUGGGGCGGUCUCCUCCUAAAGAGUAACGGAGGAGCACGAAGGUUGGCUAAUCCUGGUCGGACAUCAGGAGGUUAGUGCAAUGGCAUAAGCCAGCUUGACUGCGAGCGUGACGGCGCGAGCAGGUGCGAAAGCAGGUCAUAGUGAUCCGGUGGUUCUGAAUGGAAGGGCCAUCGCUCAACGGAUAAAAGGUACUCCGGGGAUAACAGGCUGAUACCGCCCAAGAGUUCAUAUCGACGGCGGUGUUUGGCACCUCGAUGUCGGCUCAUCACAUCCUGGGGCUGAAGUAGGUCCCAAGGGUAUGGCUGUUCGCCAUUUAAAGUGGUACGCGAGCUGGGUUUAGAACGUCGUGAGACAGUUCGGUCCCUAUCUGCCGUGGGCGCUGGAGAACUGAGGGGGGCUGCUCCUAGUACGAGAGGACCGGAGUGGACGCAUCACUGGUGUUCGGGUUGUCAUGCCAAUGGCACUGCCCGGUAGCUAAAUGCGGAAGAGAUAAGUGCUGAAAGCAUCUAAGCACGAAACUUGCCCCGAGAUGAGUUCUCCCUGACUCCUUGAGAGUCCUGAAGGAACGUUGAAGACGACGACGUUGAUAGGCCGGGUGUGUAAGCGCAGCGAUGCGUUGAGCUAACCGGUACUAAUGAACCGUGAGGCUUAACCUU
rnacentral:rRNA from 1 species